UUGAAAUGUAAAAUUCUGGCUAGAGUAGUAAUAGUUAUGUUCUUGAAACUUAAAGAAUUUGGCGGUAUUUUAGUCUAAUCAGAGGAACCUGUCCCGUAAUCGAUAAUCCACGGUGGACCUUACUUAAAUUUGUUUAGUUUAUAUACCGUCGUUAUAAAAAACUUUUUUAGAAAAAUAGUUUUUAAUAAUUAAGAUUAUAAUUUAUAUCAGAUCAAGGUGUAGCUUAUAUUUAAGUGGAGAUGGGUUACAAUAAAGCUAUUUAUAUGAAUUUUUUUAUGAAACUAGAAAAUGAAAGUGGAUUUGAAAGUAAGGUUUUAUAGAUAAAAAAUCUGAAAUUAGCUCUAAAAUAUGUAC
rnacentral:rRNA from 1 species